GACGAACGCUGGCGGCGUGCCUAACACAUGCAAGUCGAGCGGAGGAUUCGAGAUGUUUACAUCGAAGGACCCUUAGCGGCGGACGGGUGAGUAACACGUGGGUAACCUGCCUCAGAGUGGGGGAUAGCCUUUCGAAAGGAAGAUUAAUACCGCAUAAGAUUGUAGCGUCACAUGGCGCAGCAAGAAAAGGAGCAAUCCGCUUUGAGAUGGACCCGCGGCGCAUUAGCUAGUUGGUGAGGUAACGGCUCACCAAGGCCACGAUGCGUAGCCGACCUGAGAGGGUGAUCGGCCACAUUGGAACUGAGACACGGUCCAGACUCCUACGGGAGGCAGCAGUGGGGAAUAUUGCACAAUGGGCGAAAGCCUGAUGCAGCAACGCCGCGUGAGUGAUG
rnacentral:rRNA from 1 species